GGGCUUGUAGCUCAGUGGACUAGAGCACGUGGCUACGAACUACGGAGUCAGGGGUUCAAAUCCCUUCUUGCCCG
rnacentral:tRNA from 1 species